rnacentral:lncRNA from 1 species
AUUCCCACAGAAAAUUCUAAAUCUUCUGUUUUCGCUCCGAUUUCAGCACAGGUCAUUCCCAACCUAUAUUUCACUUCUCUAAAUCCAAUAAAAAUAGUAUCUCAUACUAUUUUUAUUUAUUUUUAUUUUUAUAUUUAAAUCUGGUAUAUUAUAUUACACCGCAACCUCACCGGAACUAUUUAAAUGUACACCGUAACUUCAUAUUUUUUAGAAGUCCGGUACCUU